rnacentral:rRNA from 1 species
UACGUAGGGUGCGAGCGUUGUCCGGAAUUAUUGGGCGUAAAGAGCUUGUAGGUGGCUCGUUGCGUCGGGAGUGAAAACCUGCGGCUUAACCGCAGGCCUGCUUCCGAUACGGGCGAGCUAGAGUUCGGCAGGGGAGACUGGAAUUCCUGGUGUAGCGGUGGAAUGCGCAGAUAUCAGGAGGAACACCGGUGGCGAAGGCGGGUCCCUGGGCCGAUACUGACACUGAGAAGCGAAAGCGUGGGGAGCGAACAGG